rnacentral:rRNA from 1 species
UACGAAGGGGGCUAGCGUUGCUCGGAAUUACUGGGCGUAAAGCGCACGUAGGCGGAUUUGUAAGUCAGGGGCGAAAUCCCGGGGCUCAACCUCGGAACUGCCUUUGAUACUGCAAAUCUCGAGUCCGGAAGAGGUGAGUGGAAUUCCUAGUGUAGAGGUGAAAUUCGUAGAUAUUAGGAAGAACACCAGUGGCGAAGGCGGCUCACUGGUCCGGUACUGACGCUGAGGUGCGAAAGCGUGGGGAGCAAACAGG